UCUCUUCAUCAUCUUCUUCUUCAGAAAAAAAAAAGAAGCAUUGUUAAUAUUUAUAUUUUAUUUUGUCAAAUUUUUCUGUUCUGAAAUUUUGAUAUACACAGACUCUUCCAUAUCGCGAGAAGGAAUAUGCAAGUGGGAAUCGUUUUUACCUCUGCUGAGAAAGGAAGGAUAUUGAUGUGUUGGUUGAAAUAUCUGCACAUUCCUUGCUUAAGAAAAUGUGGGAACAAGGUUUUAGCAUGGUUCUCGGAAAUGGAUUAUCCCUAUAUAAAUAUAUGACAGGACACAAUUUUUGGAUUCUCUGUUUCAAAGAAAUCUUGAGAGGAAUGACAACCAACUACUUCUUUGGUAUCAUAAGUUAUACAGGCUGAAACUCUUUGAAGGCCAUGGGGAAAUACACUUUGCAUUGUCGCUUACUUUCAUGAAGCUUUCUUCUGUCCGAUAAGACAUGUUAACCAUCGCCAGUUCCCAAGUAUUUAGAGAGAAUAAUGGAAAGGCAAUUUAAUUAGGGGUAUUAAUUUGAAAUGCCUGGAACCAUUGUGGAACAGAUAUUAAACAUUCGGAUUUAAUUCUGCCUCUUCCUUUUGAUUAAAUUGAAUAUCAUCAUCAUUCUACAUUCGUUGUUGUUAGAUUCUGGACAUUACCAAUUCGCGCGGUGAGGCAUUUGUGUAAGUAUCACCAACAGUAGAUCAUGAAGGUUCAUCAGCAAUGGAAUAUACAGCAAAAGGACAAGGAGCAUCAAAUUAAGAAAAUGUCAAAAUGUCACCACCAUUAGAAAUGAUGAAGAAUUAGGAAAUGAUUGUGGCCAGACUCAAUAUGGUAAUAAUUAUUAUAAGGUUCCAGGUUGGUGUGUGCCUUCGUUGCCAGUACGUGGUGACUGGGUCGAAUUCAAGCUUUAUGCCGUGGAAUCUUGAAUGGCUUAAUUCAUUUUUUGGUUGUGUAUCUGUACAUUCUAGGAGAAAGUUGUCGAAAAGAGACUGGAAAAAUCCUACGAGUAGAAAUUAUGUGUGGAAGAAAAUCCAUGGUAAUAAUAUUACUUUCGGAAAGGAUCAUAUGCAGAUGGAUUACUAACCGUCAUCACAGAUGGAUGGCCAAGAGUUGCUGUUAUUGGUGUUCUAUGUAAUGCAGUGAAAGACUUGCAAACGAUUACGUGAAUAGUAGCAACAAAGAAUGACGAGAGGCGAUCUUCUCACAAGUUAUUUCAGAUGAAUGGUGCAGUGGUGAGACAAGUUAUUCUUCCAACUCCAUGAUUCAGGCAUCUCUAUGUCUCUCAUAUUUUUAAGAUAGAUGUGCUCUGCUAAUAAUCUGCCAUCUUUCAGAGUUGCUAGAACUUAACAAGAAAAAAUAUCUAAAAAUGACAAACCGCUUUGAGGCGAGCUCUUCAAACCCAUAUUUUCUUUUGUUGGUGACUACAAUAAAUGUGUACAGUUCCUUGAUAUAUACUGUAUUUCAAAUCAAACGUGUUGUCUAUUUU